GACGAACGCUGGCGGCGUGCCUAACACAUGCAAGUCGAACGGAACUGUUUUGAAAGAUUUCUUCGGAAUGAAUUUGAUUUAGUUUAGUGGCGGACGGGUGAGUAACGCGUGAGUAACCUGCCUUCAAGAGGGGAAUAACAUUCUGAAAAGAAUGCUAAUACCGCAUGACAUAUCGGAACCACAUGGUUUUGAUAUCAAAGAUUUUAUCGCUUGAAGAUGGACUCGCGUCCGAUUAGUUAGUUGGUGAGGUAACGGCUCACCAAGACCGCGAUCGGUAGCCGGACUGAGAGGUUGAACGGCCACAUUGGGACUGAGACACGGCCCAGACUCCUACGGGAGGCAGCAGUGGGGGAUAUUGCGCAAGGGGGGCAACCCUGACGCAGCAACGCCGCGUGAAGGAUGAAGGUUUUCGGAUUGUAAACUUCUUUUAUUAAGAACGAAAAAUGACGGUACUUAAUGAAUAAGCUCCGGCUAACUACGUG
rnacentral:rRNA from 1 species